rnacentral:rRNA from 1 species
AGAGUUUGAUCCUGGCUCAGGAUGAACGCUGGCGGCGUGCUUAACACAUGCAAGUCGAACGAAGCACCUUGAUUUGAUUCUUCGGAUGAAGAUCUUGGUGACUGAGUGGCGGACGGGUGAGUAACGCGUGGGUAACCUGCCUCAUACAGGGGGAUAACAGUUAGAAAUGACUGCUAAUACCGCAUAAGACCACAGCACCGCAUGGUGCAGGGGUAAAAACUCCGGUGGUAUGAGAUGGACCCGCGUCUGAUUAGGUAGUUGGUGGGGUAACGGCCUACCAAGCCGACGAUCAGUAGCCGACCUGAGAGGGUGACCGGCCACAUUGGGACUGAGACACGGCCCAAACUCCUACGGGAGGCAGCAGUGGGGAAUAUUGCACAAUGGGGGAAACCCUGAUGCAGCGACGCCGCGUGAGCGAUGAAGUAUUUCGGUAUGUAAAGCUCUAUCAGCAGGGAAGAGAAUGACGGUACCUGACUAAGAAGCACCGGCUAAAUACGUGCCAGCAGCCGCGGUAAUACGUAUGGUGCAAGCGUUAUCCGGAUUUACUGGGUGUAAAGGGAGCGUAGACGGAGUGGCAAGUCUGAUGUGAAAACCCUGGGCUCAACCCCGGGACUGCAUUGGAAACUGUCAAUCUAGAGUACCGGAGAGGUAAGCGGAAUUCCUAGUGUAGCGGUGAAAUGCGUAGAUAUUAGGAGGAACACCAGUGGCGAAGGCGGCUUACUGGACGGUAACUGACGUUGAGGCUCGAAAGCGUGGGGAGCAAACAGGAUUAGAUACCCUGGUAGUCCACGCUGUAAACGAUGAAUACUAGGUGUGCGGGGACUGACCCCCUGCGUGCCGCAGUUAACACAAUAAGUAUUCCACCUGGGGAGUACGAUCGCAAGGUUGAAACUCAAAGGAAUUGACGGGGGCCCGCACAAGCGGUGGAUUAUGUGGUUUAAUUCGAAGCAACGCGAAGAACCUUACCAGGGCUUGACAUCCUACUAACGAGAUAGAGAUAUGUUAGGUGCCCUUCGGGGAAAGUAGAGACAGGUGGUGCAUGGUUGUCGUCAGCUCGUGUCGUGAGAUGUUGGGUUAAGUCCCGCAACGAGCGCAACCCCUAUUGUUAGUUGCUACGCAAGAGCACUCUAGCGAGACUGCCGUUGACAAAACGGAGGAAGGUGGGGACGACGUCAAAUCAUCAUGCCCCUUAUGUCCUGGGCUACACACGUAAUACAAUGGCGGUCAACAGAGGGAUGCGAAACCGCAAGGUGGAGCGAACCCCUAAAAGCCGUCCCAGUUCAGAUUGUGGGCUGCAACCCGCCCACAUGAAGUCGGAAUCGCUAGUAAUCGCAGAUCAGCAUGCUGCGGUGAAUACGUUCCCGGGCCUUGUACACACCGCCCGUCACACCAUGAGAGUCGGGAACACCCGAAGCCUGUAGCCUAACCAUUCGGAGGGCGCAGUCGAAGGUGGGUUCGAUAAUUGGGGUGAAGUCGUAACAAGGUA